AGUGAACGCUGGCGGUAGGCCUAACACAUGCAAGUCGAACGGCAGCACAGUAAGAGCUUGCUCUUACGGGUGGCGAGUGGCGGACGGGUGAGGAAUACACCGGAAUCUACUUUUUCGUGGGGGAUAACGUAGGGAAACUUACGCUAAUACCGCAUACGACCUACGGGUGAAAGCAGGGGAUCUUCGGACCUUGCGCGAUUGAAUGAGCCGAUAUCGGAUUAGCUAGUUGGCGGGGUAAAGGCCCACCAAGGCGACGAUCCGUAGCUGGUCUGAGAGGAUGAUCAGCCACACUGGAACUGAGACACGGUCCAGACUCCUACGGGAGGCAGCAGUGGGGAAUAUUGGACAAUGGGCGCAAGCCUGAUCCAGCCAUACCGCGUGGGUGAAGAAGGCCUUCGGGUUGUAAAGCCCUUUUGUUGGGAAAGAAAAGCAGCAGGUUAAUACCCCGCUGUUCUGACGGUACCCAAAGAAUAAGCACCGGCUAACUUCGUG
rnacentral:rRNA from 1 species